GUUUACCGCGGCGGCGUGCGCUGGCAGCGGGUGGCCUACUUCUUUGACUCCGUGGCCUUUGCGGACCUCGUGAGGAUGUCACCCAUAUUGAUUCUUCUGGUGUUCUGAGGACGCCGGCUGUGUAUAUCUUCCCCCUGAGGAGGUUGAACCAGGCCAUCUACCUGCUCCACACUUAAUAACCUACUAAUAUAUAUAUACUUUAUUUCGCCUGGAGAAAGAGCACCUAACCCGGCCUGCUCCUGUGAUGGUGGCCUCAUGGUCCUACGAGUGCACGAUCUGCCUGGACGAGUUCAAGAACGCCGGCAAGUCGGGCUGAGUGAACCUGCCCUGCUCGCACGCUGUUGCUGUCCGCAACGAUGCACUGUUUAUGUCGCUGGAGAGGAUACCACAGUCUUUGGCCCCCGCUGCUCAGCGUCCAGGAUGCAUCAGCAUCAAGUAACGGAUUUUUACAUGGACUAGAUGGCAGACAAAGCAAAAGCCUGUAGUAGCUGUUGCAGCAGGCUUCCGCGUCAUUUGUUUGAAGGAUGCUGUAAAAUAGAGGGGUGACAAGCAAGGAGAUGCCAUCUCUAUAUAUGCAGCCUCAGCCUUUGCAAGGAUGACAAUUCAGUUUUUUAUUCAGAAAAGUUCAAGGUUGAGAGCCGUGGUACUUCAAAGCAUGGUAAUGUAAGUUCUCUUUUCACCUCAGAUGUCAGAUAAUAGUUUUAUUUGACUAUGAAUAGUAUGUAUACGCAUAGUCCAGAAUUUUAUUUAAUGUGGGCUGAACCUGGACCUUGAGUUCUUAUUGUUUAAGAGGGUUUUGUCUAUGAUGUAGCUGGUUGCAUUUGCUGGAAGUGAUCUGGACUAAGAUCAAAGUGGCUAUCCUAUUUUGGGACUCGACACAAUGUGUCCUGAGAUGAACUCUGUUUUUUUUUUUGCCUUAUUGAUGCCUGUGCUGCUAUUUAUAUUGAGAACAUGAGUUGUCAUCCUAAACUCUCGCCUAAUUGUUGCCUUAAUUGGAACCUUAAACCCGGUAUUUAAUUAGUCUGUUUCGGAUUUGAUCUUGAGUUCUUGUUAUUUAUAAAACUUUUGUCAAUAGUGUUGCUUGUUGCACUUGUUGGAGCUGAUCUGGACUUAAAUGAUCCAAGUGGCUAAGGUCUAUUCUGAUUAAACACAAUGCUACCUUGUGGAAUUCAUUCCGGUGCCUUAUUGAUGCCUGUGCUGCUGCAUAUCUCCAAAGAUGGAUUUCUGCCACUAAGAUGCUUAUUUGGUUCAAGUAGCUUGCUUGCUUGGCUAUGAAUGAAUAAAUAAAGUGUGGCAGUUAAGAAAAGUAAUCUUGUCUUGGAAAUAAGCAAUGACUGACUGACUGUGUUUAGCGACCUGUAUUCUCUCUUAUAUUUUUGCCGCAUGCAUAUAUCGUAGAGCUGCUGUUACUUAUCAUUGCCAAGAAUAUUGUUGUUGAUAUGUUUCCUAUUUUUAUCAUUCCUUAUUUGCAGCCAUACACUUUCUGAUCAUUUGUUUAUGCCAAUUUCAAAUUCUAUUCAUGUUUGUUCAAUCUGCUAUAGAGCUGAUCAUCAUUUUUUUGGUUUUUGUCCAAUGGAAAUGAGGACUAGAUGAUAUCAUGAGAGGCAGGGGUAGCAGCUGGAACCUGUAGCUGCUGCCCAUAUCCUGAUGCAUCGCUUGGAAGGAAGCUGGAAAACCCCGGAGAUCUUCACCACGACGACGACUUGCUCCACUCGGAAUGAUGCCAGGGACAAGAACAACCACGAUUCGUAUAACGGUGUAUCUCGCUGCUUUUUCUGAUAAGUUUGUGAUUUUUUUGGUGCUGCCCAUACUUUCACCAUUUAUAGUUUGCUGCAUGCAUAGGGCUACUGUUAUCAUUGUUCACCUUUUCCUUUUAAAUGUAAAAUUUGCUGUAUGCAUAGUCUGGAUCUACACAAGUUGUUGAAAUUUGUAUGCUUACCAUGUGGCAUGGAUAUGUGUUGUAGUGCGUUCGAAUGUAGAAUUUCCUUGUCCUUUUUUGUUCAUGCUCUGCCGUCCAUGGGAUGCUCUGUCCGUGCCUGUUGCACCUAACUGUGGCGAAUUUAGCUUGUUGGGUUGCAGUGUUCGUUCUGGUAACCUAAAGUUUAAGUUCUCGUUGGUCUCUUUUUAGUUGGUGAUUGUUAGUGUUAUCUUGCGACAUAAUAACUCAAUAUCAUUCUCUUCUUAAUUAGUGGGUUUAUUUAUUUAUUCUGUAGUUUAUGAAAGCUCAAAUAUCGUGCAUAGAGCUGACCAUCAUGUGUGUGUUUUUGUUGUUGGAGGAUACCGAGGAGGUUAACUAUAUGCCGCUGGAGACCCGAUGCAUCAUAUCACCUCUAUGUAUCAGCAGCUUUUUACCACCUCUAUGUAUCAGCAGCUUUUUACCACCUUGAUGCUGAACACUUGGAUGCUAUGGUUGUAGUGCAUGUGUAACCCAGGUUUCGGAUCCGGAAGCAUGUCCUAAUGCAGCAAUCUUGUGUUUUAUGUAAACGCCCUAUGAUGGGAUUGCAGAAACCUGCAUGGUGUGCAUCAGCUUUGCCUUGCUGGUUGUUUGUUAUCCGGUGUUGCAAAAAUUCUGGUUGA